AUGAACGUUGGCGGCGUGGAUUAGGCAUGCAAGUCGUGCGUGUACCCCGCAAGGGGGAAAGCGGCGAAAGGGAGAGUAACGCGUGGGUUAUCUGCCCUCUGGACCGGGAUAGCUGCGGGAAACUGCAGGUAAUACCGGAUGACGUCUGCGGACCAAAUGGUGUGAUUCCGCCGGAGGAUGAGCCCGCGUCCUAUUAGCUAGUUGGUAGGGUAAUGGCCUACCAAGGCUACGAUGGGUACUGGGUGUGAGAGCACGACCCAGCUCACUGGGACUGAGACACUGCCCAGACACCUACGGGUGGCUGCAGUCGAGAAUCUUCGGCAAUGAGCGCAAGCUUGACCGAGCGACGCCGCGUGCGGGAUGAAGGCUUUCGGGUUGUAAACCGCUGUCAGUGGGGAGGAAGUGCGCGGGGGUUCACCCUCGUGUUUGACCUAUCCGCAGAGGAAGUCAGGGCUAAGUUCGU
rnacentral:rRNA from 1 species